UUGAAAAGAAUAAUCAGAGAUCGAGUCUCACUAGCGACAGUGUGGAAGCAACUUCUCAAAGUGAGUGGAAUUUCUUGUGCACAGUAAGCAAAAGAGUUAAUUCUAAUUUU